CAUGGUUUUGGGUAUUCUUUUUUCCGGUUCUUUGCUCUCACAGGCAGCUCUCCGGAUCAAUAAAAAUGGUGCUGCUGAGCUGUAGAUCUGGAUAGGCCUUGCCACACGGUCACAGUCACUGCUUCCCUCCUGGCUUAGAAGGUAUCUUAUUUCACAGGAUACCAAGAACUGCAGCGCUAGUAUUUUGUCACUUGUAAGAGAACUGAUACAUGCUCCUAGCAACUGACUCCAAUCCUGUCUGUGUAGGAUGUAUGCGGAGACCCUCUCUACAUGUGUGGCAUCCAUGCUACUUUGUUUGUGUCUCUUCUCAUCAGUUUUAGCAAAUGCUACUUCUUCAGAGGCUUGUAAAUAUGUCCAACUUCUAGACUACUUAAAUGUGACAACAGACCGGGAGCAGAUGUCCUACACUCGACCGGUGAAAAAUUGGAAAGACCCAACACUAGUGUCAUUAGAUGCUACA